rnacentral:rRNA from 1 species
AGGACGAACGCUGGCGGCGUGCUUAACACAUGCAAGUCGAGCGGAAAGGCCCUUCGGGGUACUCGAGCGGCGAACGGGUGAGUAACACGUGAGUAAUCUGCCCCUAGCUCUGGGAUAGCUCCGGGAAACCGGGAUUAAUACCGGAUACGACUGCUACGGACAUCUGUGGUGGUGGAAAGAACUUCGGCUAGGGAUGAGCUCGCGGCCUAUCAGCUUGUUGGUGGGGUAACGGCCUACCAAGGCGACGACGGGUAGCCGGCCUGAGAGGGCGCACGGACACACUGGAACUGAAACACGGUCCAGACUCCUACGGGAGGCAGCAGUGGGGAAUUUUGCGCAAUGGGGGAAACCCUGACGCAGCAACGCCGCGUGGAGGAUGAAGUCCCUUGGGACGUAAACUCCUUUCGAUCGGGACGAUAAUGACGGUACCGAGAGAAGAAGCCCCGGCUAACUUCGCGCCAGCAGCCGC